CUGCGAAAUCGCAAUAAUUUGUUUUACAUCUGGCAACUACGCAUACGUCUUCCCUGCCUGUCAUUCUUUCCCUUUCAGUUAAUGUCGCCUGCUAUUUUGGCUCAUGUCGUGACAGUCAGUCUUUGAUUUAUUAAGCUCUGUCUAGAGUCUCUUUGAUCGUGAAAUACGAUUUUAUUGUGUGUGUUUCAUCUUUCAUCAAGCCUGAACAGAUUUCAGCCUGUGUUCUUUCCUUUCUUUGAGGCUAUUUGACGUGAUAACGUCUAUGUACACGUGGUCCCAGAUACUUGUAUCACAUAUACUGUUCAUGUGUGUGUCACCCGAUAAGCUUUCUUGCUUAUAAGGUACCUCACACGUAUACUCUGUACACAUCAACACCUGACCCUGUACAUAUUCCAUCGCUCUCAUUUUAUUCACCACUCAUCGACUUUAAUACAUUGGAUGUUAGAGAGAGAGAGAACGAGCAUCCAUCAAUCACUGGUUCCAACAUUUAGAGG